rnacentral:miRNA from 1 species
UGCUGGGGAAUAUAAGUUUAUGU